CACGUAGGGGGCAAGCGUUGUCCGGAUUUAUUGGGCGUAAAGAGCUCGUAGGUGGCUGAGUAAGUCGGGUGUCAAAUCCCCAGGCUCAACCUGGGACACCACUCGAUACUGCUCUGGCUAGAGUCCGGUAGGGGAGCGUGGAAUUCCUGGUGUAGCGGUGAAAUGCGCAGAUAUCAGGAGGAACACCAGCGGCGAAGGCGGCGCUCUGGGCCGGUACUGACACUGAGGAGCGAAAGCGUGGGUAGCAAACAGG
rnacentral:rRNA from 1 species